GGGGUUGUAGCUCAGUGGUAGAGCACUUGCCUUGCAUGUGGAAGGUACUGGGUUCAAUCCUCAGCACCA
rnacentral:tRNA from 1 species